UACGUAGGGGGGCAAGCGUUAUCCGGAAUCAUUGGGCGUAAAGCGCGUGUAGGCGGUUCACCAAGUCCGCUCUGAAAGCCCAGGGCUCAACCCUGGGAGGCGGGUGGAUACUGGUGGACUAGAGUCCGGAAGAGGGAGAUUGGAAAUUCCUGGUGUAGCGGUGAAAUGCGCAGAUAUCAGGAGGAACACCGGUGGCGAAGGCGGGUCUCUGGGCCGAUAUUGACGCUGAGGAGCGAAAGCGUGGGGAGCGAACAGG
rnacentral:rRNA from 1 species